ACGACUGUAGCUUAGUGGUCAAGCGGCAAUAGCUAUUAUUGCAGACUCGGGUUCGAGUCCCGACGGUCAUC